AUUGAACGCUGGCGGCAGGCUUAACACAUGCAAGUCGAGCGAGCGGCGGACGGGUGAGUAAUGUCUGGGAAACUGCCUGAUGGAGGGGGAUAACUACUGGAAACGGUAGCUAAUACCGCAUACCAUCAGAUGUGCCCAGAUGGGAUUAGCUAGUAGGUGGGGUAAUGGCUCACCACGGCGACGAUCCCUAGCUGGCCUGAGAGGAUGACCACCCACACUGGGACUGCGCCACGGCCCAGACUCCUACGUGAGGCAGCAGGGGGGAAUAUUGCACAAUGGGCGCAAGCCUGAUUCAGCCACGCCGCGUUUGUGAAGAAGGCCUUCGGUUUGUAAAGCUCUUUCAGCGGGGCGGCGUUACCCGCAGAAGAAGCCCCGGCUAACUCCGUGCCAGCAGCCGCGGUAAUUC
rnacentral:rRNA from 1 species